rnacentral:rRNA from 1 species
AGAGUUUGAUCCUGGCUCAGGAUGAACGCUAGCGGUGCGCCUAACACAUGCAAGUCGAGCGAUAUAGCGGCGAACGGGUGAGUAACACGUUGGAACCUGCCCCGAACUCAGGGAUAGCUCCCGGAAACGGGAAUUAAUACCGGAUAGUCCCGAAAGGGUAAAGAUUUUUCGGUUCGGGAGGGGCCUGCGGCCUAUCAGCUUGUUGGUAAGGUAAAAGCUUACCAAGGCUAUGACGGGUAUCUGGUGUGAGAGCAUGACCAGACACAAUGGAACUGAGACACGGUCCAUACUCCUACGGGAGGCAGCAGUGAGGAAUCUUCCGCAAUGGGCGAAAGCCUGACGGAGCGACACCGCGUGGAGGAAGAAGGCCUUUUGGUUGUAAACUCCUUUUCUGGGGGAAUAACUGAUGAAGGUACCCCAGGAAUAAGCACCGGCUAACUACGUGCCAGCAGCCGCGGUAAUACGUAGGGUGCAAGCGUUAUCCGGAAUCAUUGGGCGUAAAGCGUUCGUAGGCUGCUUGGAAAGUUCACCGUCAAAUCCGGUCGCUCAACGAUCGAAUCGCGAUGAAAACUUCCAAACUUGAGAUUGGCAGAGGCAACUGGAAUUCCGCAUGUAGGGGUAAAAUCCGUUGAUAUGCGGAGGAACACCAAAAGCGAAGGCAGGUUGCUGGGCCAUUUCUGACGCUGAGGAACGAAAGCGUGGGGAGCAAACAGGAUUAGAUACCCUGGUAGUCCACGCCGUAAACGAUGGAUACUCGAUGUGGGAAGGACUCGACCCCUUCCUGUGUCCAAGCUAACGCGUUAAGUAUCCCGCCUGGGGAGUACGGUCGCAAGAUUAAAACUCAAAGGAAUAGACGGGGACCCACACAAGCGGUGGAGCAUGUGGUUUAAUUCGACAAUAAACGGGGAACCUUACCAGGGCUUGACAUCUCCGGAAGCUUUUGGAAACAAGAGUGUGCCGUAAGGAACUGGAUGACAGGUGCUGCAUGGUCGUCGUCAGCUCGUGCCUUGAGGUGUUCGGUUAAGUCCGUAAACGAGCGCAACCCAUGUCCUGUGUUGCAUAUUUCACAGGAGACUGCCGGCUCCAAGUCGGAGGAGGAUGGAUGACGUCAGAUCAGCAUGGCCCUUAUGCCCUGGGCUACACACGUGCUACAUGCUGGUACAAUGGGUAGCGAACCCGCAGGGGGAGCCAAUCUCAUCAAGCCAGUCUAGUUCGGAUGGGGCUGAAUUCGACCCAUGAGUUGAUCGCUGUACGCAAUACUAUGUGCGGUGAUAUGUCUGGUCUGUCUCCGCCGUCCACAGAAGGGGAUGCCGAGUCCCUAUUUCAGACGGGCUAGGAAUCCUGAUGGAUGAUCUA